AUAUUGGGCAAUGGAGGAAACUCUUACCCAGCAAUGCCGCGUGAGUGAAUGAAGGUCNNNGGAUUNUCAAGCUCUUUGAUUGGNGACNAAUAAAUGACGGUACCCAAAAAACAAGCCCCGGCUAACUAUGUGCCAGCAGCCGCGGUAAUACAUAGGGGGCAAGCGUUGUCCGGAAUGACUGGGCGUAAAGGGUGCGUAGGCGGCCUUUUAAGUCAGAUGUGAAAGCCCACGGCUUAACCGUGGGACUGCAUUUGAAACUGGAGGGCUUGAGUAUCGGAGAGGGUAGUGGAAUUCCCAGUGUAGCGGUGGAAUGCGUAGAUAUUGGGAGGAACACCAGUGGCGAAGGCGACUUUCUGGACUGUAACUGACGCUGAGGUACGAAAGCGUGGGGAGCAAAUA
rnacentral:rRNA from 1 species